CAUCACUACGCUAGAUGCAUAUCAAUAAGCGGAGGAAAAGAAACUAACUAGGAUUCCCCUAGUAACGGCGAGUGAAGCGGGAAGAGCUCAAAUUUGAAAUCUUAAAGGUUUCCCUUGACGAAUUGUAGUUUAAAGAAGUGUUUUCUGUUGGAGUUUCGGUAAAAGUUCUUUGGAAUAGGACAUCAUAGAGGGUGAGAAUCCCGUAUUUGACCGUUACUUUCCAGCUGUGUGAUACAUUUUCAAAGAGUCGGAUUGUUUGGGAAUGCAGUCCAAAAUGGGUGGUAAAUUUCAUCUAAAGCUAAAUAUUGGCGAGAGACCGAUAGCGAACAAGUACCGUGAGGGAAAGAUGAAAAGAACUUUGAAAAGAGAGUUAAACAGUACGUGAAAUUGUCAAAAGGGAAGCGUUUGACACCAGUGUUGUUUAGUUGAAAAUCAAUUCAAUAAUUUUUGAUUUUAAGUAGUAUUGACUUCAUCAGCUUGCUGCUUUCUUUUCAGGAAUUAUUGAAUGCACUUUUCAGUUAACAAGUCAACAUCAAUUUCUUUUGUUGUAAAAGGGUAAGAGGAAGGUGGCUUACGCUUCGGCGUAAGUGUUUAUAGCCUUUUACCUCUGCAAUCGGAGAGAUUGAGGUCAGCAGCGUAGACUCUUCGGGGUUAGAUACACUUGUGCUAAGCUAUAGCCUUGUAUAGACAACUUGUUGACUAUGCUCAGUCAUGUAGCUUACUCGCUUGUGCUAUUUUACCUACGCUUAGGAUGUUGAAGAUAUGCGCGACACG
rnacentral:rRNA from 1 species